rnacentral:lncRNA from 1 species
UAGCAUGUACUAUGUGCUUUCCUAAUAGGAUGCGCCAUCCAGAGAUGUGGACGAUGAUUAAAAAGAAAAAGAAAAUGCAAUGUGCAAAUAAACCAUUAGCUCAAACUCGUAAACCACAAAGUACAUAAAAAAUUUCAAGAAUUAAAAGAGAAGGAAGUACAAUGGUAUUCAGCUAAGAUAUAACCAAGACAGGGUACACUGCAUCUAGCGUAUUUUGAAUUUUCCAGAUAGAGAAAACUUAAGCAAAACUAAAACAACAGCUUCAAAAUACAAACAUAAAGUACAACAGGGAGUUGGGAGUCGCCUAGGCCGCCUAGCCCCCGCCUAGGCCGCCUAGCGACCGCCUAGGCCGCCUAGCGCCCGCCUAGGCCGCCUGGGUUGGUCUGGGCUGGCGUUUUGCCGUUGAGGCGUCAACGCUUAAGGUGGCACUGAGGCGCUGGAUGAAGAAAGACUGAGAGAGAGAGAGAGAAGAAGUCGAAACAGCGAGAGGAAGGAGUGUAGGCUACGCAGGGAAGAAGACUUCUAACCUAAUUUUUAAUAUAACUAACGGGUUGGGUUUUGUAAAAUGGGCUUAAACAUUGUAUUAAAAUGGCCCUAUAUUAAAAAAAAAAAAAAGCGGUAGAGAGGCUCAAAUAUAAGCUGUUUGAUUCAUAUUUAAAACUCAAGACAAAUCCCAAAUAAGAGCAAGUUUAUUUGGCUUAUAACUGAUGGCUUUGGACUCGAGAAGCAGAGCAUCAGCAGCUUCUGGAGAAACUGAAUUGGACAUCUCUGGAUGUGCU